GCACGCACCGCGCUUUAUGCGCCGCCUGGCCCCGCCCCGCCUCGCCCCGCCCGCGCGGAGGGCGGGAGCCGCCGCCAUGUCGGGCGGCGCUUUCGGCUCUGAGGUUUCGUGCGCGCCUCCGCUCUGGUGCCGCCUGGGGCGCGUGGCGCGCUGUGCUGCAGGGGGGCGGCCGCCAUUUCGCGGUGCGGCUGAGGCAGCGCGAGGGGCCGCGCGAGGGCGGGCGCCUCCGGCAGCGGAUCGCUGCUGUGCCCGCUCGUCCUCACAGCGAGACUGUCAUGGGUUUUCCUCCAAAAAUGACAAAUGGAUCACAGCCACAUUGUAACUGAAGCAGGAAACUCAGACCUGUUGGCAGUAGCAGAUUUAGAGGCAAACAACUACCCUACUAGUGGCAGAUUCCCUGGCUGAGUCCAUUCAUGCAGGAUUUAUCCUAAGGAAAUACCAGCCUUCCAAUUGAAGUCCAUUUGAGACAAGGUGAACCAGCAGUAUAAGAGCUUCAGUAAUAGCACUGUCUAGUUACUGUCACUGCAACUAGAACUAAGUGCGAAACAAGAUCCCAUUCUAAACACAAUCUGAAGUAUGGGAAUGCAUUUUAAUAUCAUGGAAAAAACAUGCAUCACAGUAAAUCCACACUGCUGCUCAUUAUGUAGGCAUAUUGUGGCUACCUACAGGUCAGCAUUCUCCAAAAUAAAUUUUGCAGAUUCUUCUUUUUUUGUAAGAUCCAUCACUGUUAGUUUCAGGGUGGAAAUCAUGAAAAAUUACAUCUCUUCCUUUGGGAAGUGAGGGUUUCCUAAUAACAGGUAAAAUAAUUUGCUUUAAAAAAAUCCCCUGAAGUGAAUUUCGUUAUUCCCCUCUACAUGUUGCACUCUUUCAGCUCAUGAAUAACAAAAUGACCCAUUGAAGAAAGCAAAUAAUACCUCCUGAAUGAACUUUGGCUACCCAAUUACCCACCUUGUAUAUCAUGUUUAGAGUCCAAGCUGUUAUUAAAAUAGGAAACUUAGACAGCAGUCAUUAAGCCCAGUAACACAGCAGUGGAAAAGGCUUCACUUUGUUAAGUUUUGUAGGCAGCAUAUCUAUAAAGCCAAUUCUCAGGUUCUUAUUCAGGGCAUUGAAAUGGGACAUUUGACUGCAUUUCUCCAAGAAAUAGUGGCAUGGUAGCACUCUUGACAAGAACCGCUAACAAAUGCAGCACUUUACAAAAGCACAGAAGCACUUUAAGAAAAGCAACGUAAAAGCUGCUAGACAUUAGAACUGGCUUAAGGCUUUGACAUUUUAGAAAGCAGUAAUAAGUGCUUUCCUUCCAAUAUCAGAAAAUAACAACUUGAAGACUAGAGUCCAUCCAAGCAAAGGAAUACAGACAGAUAGGACAUUUCCUUUGGUGAAGGAAAACGUACUGCAUACUCUCUCUGGUCUCUUCUGCUAUUAUUUUAUAAUCUGAACAACUAGAAAAUUAACAUAAAAAUACUUCCAGAAUCUUCUUGAAAAUCCCAAGCUGCUACUUCAGAGCUUAUGUGCUCUGUAUUUCCUUUUGGAAGUAGGAUGGAUAGGCAUUAAAAAGGUCUAAAGAGACUGAAAUGGACUGAAAUUCAGUGGCUUUUUCUGCCACAUCAUACUCCUAUCAUUCAAUGACCUGCCUCUUUGGGAAUCAGGGUCGAACCACCUUCUUCCACCUCAAAGCAGUGGCUUAGAAGCAGCUCUACUUGCAGAACAUCAGCUCUAUGAGAGGCUGGAAUAAUAAUGUCAUAAAUUCUGAAAAGAAACAAGGUCACUAUAUCAAUUGUUAGCAUAAUAGUUACAAGACUGAUGUAUCAUACUACAUACUUUGUUUUCCCUAUUCCCUUUUAAAAGUGACGAUUUUUAAAGGGAAGUUCUCUGUACAACUAAAGGAGUGCAGAAUUUCACAGUUUACUAAAUACACAGCAGAUUCUGGGACAGCAAGAACAGUAGUGUCAUAUUGCCAAAUAUUUUGGGAGAAACACGGGGAAAGAUGCAUUCAUUUAUGAAAAAGUUGGUGGUAAUUUAAGCAGAGUCAGAUAAGAUAAGGAAAUCUGAUGGAAGGAAAACAAUAUUAGCCAUUUAAGAUCUGAAUAUGACAAGGUUGUUUUAGAACAGACCUUAUACAUUUUUGUUUUGUAAUGGGAUCAUUAAUGAAAGGUAAGACUGCAAGUGAGCCCAACCUAAUGUAGACUGAUGAUCACAUACUGAAGCUCCAGCUCAUUCUGUUGCAGUCAAAAGAUUUUAUAAAGACUAGAAAGUGACCAUAGAAAGAUUUAUUAUUUCAAAGAUUAUUAUUUUAAAGAAAGAAUCCAAAAAGAUGCGUCUUUGCAGACAGCACUUCGCUAGUACUCAGAAAUGUAUAGUUUAUACAUUUACCAACACUAGCCUGUUAGAUUACUGCAGUCAGGGUAUUUCUUAUUUACCUCAGUUUCUGAUCUUAUUUUUUAUAUUUCUUUUCUUUGUGGAACAUUCUAUAGUAUCAGCUGAAUUAAAGUGUAAUGUAAAGCCUUUCAAUUACAUAUAGUAAGCAAUCAUUCUCAUCAGCACUUGCUGCAUCAAGAACAGGAGUCAACAGAAAAAAAAAAAGUGACUGUAGUGCUCUAGAAAAAACCCCACACUUAUCUAUAACUCACUUGUGUUACCUAGAAUCCACACGUGGCCAUGAAUUCUUCCAUCAUGUGGCUCUUACUAUAAGGUCUUUCACAAAAGGAAGCUUCUCUUAAAUAGCACCUCUAUGAUGAUUGAUGCAUUUAUGAGCAUUGAAAUAGGGAUAACUGUGGCAAAGUACCUUAAAAUUCACAGGAAACAGCACUAUCAACAAAUGACUUACUGAAAAGAUCCGUUCAAAGAGAAAACUAAGUUGCAGCAGAUAUGUGCAGGGAGGCCAUCUACACUGCUAUCGAUGUGAUAUUUGUUUCCCAGUUUUGUUUGAUAAAUAGCUUAUAAGUUGUAAGAAUUUGCAAUACAAAGCCUCAGCCUAGCAAGUUUCUUUUAAUUUUUGAAUGUACAUCAUUUAAUUCUACAAAUGUUAAAAAAAAAAAACAAAACCUUUACAAUGUUUUUUGCGCUUAUAAUGAUCAAAACCAACUUGAUUCCAUCAAAUUUUGUAUGCAGUUAAUGUAGCCCAAUUGCUUUUGAUAAUGCAAAUAAAAAAGGCUGAGACAUUUAGCUCAGAGUUACAUGUGCAGUAACUGCUUUCUAUGAUGAGUUACUAUACACACUGUAUAUAAGAAGUGUUGCUACAGAUUACCAGUUAAGUACACAUGAACAUAGUUCACAUCCAAAUGACACACUGCCAUGGGUCAGUCCACAGUGCCAAUUUCUGUUGCUAGAGGGAAAGUUUCGUUUAAUUUUUUAAAGUACUACUUCCCCAGAAUUACUAGGUGCAAGGCAAGGUUAUGACUCAAAUUACAAGCAAACAAGGAAACUUGAAACUAGAGAAAAAUCAUUCCAACCUGUUGCACCAGGUUUCCUGUCAUAAUCACAAGGUUAGUUUAAGCUCCCAUGAAUACAGUUGCACUAAUACACUGCGGCACAAAUUACAAAAUGUACCUACAUUACUUUUGAAUUUCCUCAACCUUGCCAAUUUUUCACAUUCUCCACAUCACUAAAUAGUAAUUAUUUAUAUGUUGUUGAUAAUCAUUGUACAGUUACGCCAUAG